rnacentral:piRNA from 1 species
GGUGGUUGAAGAAUAGGUAUUAGCCACAGA